UACGUAGGGUGCAAGCGUUGUCCGGAAUUAUUGGGCGUAAAGAGCUCGUAGGCGGCUCGGUAAGUCGGGUGUGAAAUUUCGAGGCUCAACCUCGAAACGCCACCCGAUACUGCUGUAGCUAGAGUCCGGUAGGGGAGCGUGGAAUUCCUGGUGUAGCGGUGAAAUGCGCAGAUAUCAGGAGGAACACCAGUGGCGAAGGCGACUCUUUGGUCUGUAACUGACGCUGAGGCGCGAAAGCGUGGGGAGCAAACAGG
rnacentral:rRNA from 1 species